UCGACAUCUCAUAUACUAGAAGUAGAGUGUAAUCUGAUUUAGCCUUCUCUUUCUAUUAUCUUUUCUCUUUUUAUAUGUAGACUUAUGAAACAAAUUAGAAUGCUUUGAGCUGUCCAGUAGCGAAAAAUAAUGUAACUAAUUUUAGACAUCUUAUAUACCUAGUUGGCAAGAAAACAAGAAUUUUAGUGACGCUACUGGCACCACGUAUUCAUAUUGGACCCGUAGGAACACUAACUGCAAUAUUUCACCGAUUACUAUCUUAGAAGUACUUGAAAACCAUUAUUGGAGAGUUUUGAAUUUCUCGGAAUGCAAAAAAUAUGAUUAACUUGAGGCAUGUUAUGUACGAUAGUGGUGUAGCUCUAGCGAAACAGUUGAAAUGCGAGGUAGUAUACAGAUAACUAAGUUGCCUUUACAUAUUUAGGAUCACUGUUACUCAAUGUGCGGAAGUGAAUUGGUGGCUUAACUGCUGUAACCUCAUUGAUGAUUUAAGUCACAUUGUGUGAUCGGUAAAGUAGAGUCCAAAAAGUAAACUUGAAGCAGAAUCAAAUUAUCAUUCAGUAGAAAUUUGCUACUGGUUAAGGAAAUGCCAGACAUAUAUAUCAGCUGAUAGCCUGAUACUCUUCCAGACUUAACUCUUAGAUACCACAGAGAACUGACGUCCUUAUCCAGAGGUAAGAAGAAGAAUGUUCAUGAAAGGAGAAUAAUGUUUGCAGUAUAACAUUUCGUCUCCGUAUUUUAGAUCUAGAAACUUGUAUGCAUUAACUUUCCUAGAAUGGUUUAUGGCAAAGCAUCUUAAAUAAUUUGGUGGCUCAGAUAUUCUAAUGUUUGGCAUCUAACCCAGGGUUUGUCAUUUGUAAUCUUUCCAAGCAUAUAAAUUUUUCUUUUCUCUCUGGUUGUAUUUUUAUCCUUUCUAACUGAACAAGUAAUCUCAAGUAACUUUUAUAUCCGGUAAUUGGUAUUAGUCAUCUCUUCCUCUCUCUUCAUACAAUGCAAUCUCAACUAACAUUCACAAGUUCUUUAUUACUCUUUCCAGUAUGUCUAUACUCUUUUUAGAUUGUCUUCCUGUCAUUUGUUGUUAUGGAGCUGAGUUUUGGUUACCUCCAGGAACUUAAACGGCACAUACAUGCAUAUGCUGGUUUUACAGUCACUUUCCGUCCCUGCAACAUUGCUUAUAUUUCUGAUCUCUAAAUAACUUAUGACUUGUGUGUUCAUAAGGUACUACUAAAACUCUUAGUCUUAGUACAAAUCGUUAUUUAAAAUUUUGGCGUAAAGUAAUCUGACUACAACACUAGAAUUCAUGAGGUAGCAGCUAAUGUGACAUAUUCUUUUUCUGGAGGAAAGGAUCCCAGCUGGCCACAUAUCUGAUGCCUCAUGUAUCUGUUGGCUGAGAAUUCACCGAAAUGUGAUGUGAUCUAUAUAAUAUUACUCAGUUAGGUUUGUAUUUGGGAACUUAGUAACAGGUUUGUAUUUGGGAACUUAGUAAAUAGUAAGCAAUAAGAAACGGUGUCAGCAUAUUUUAGGCAAUGUAUCAGAAGUGAGCACAGAAGCUGCAUAUUUAUGUUGAUGGGAUACUCUUUUCUCUAACAUACUCCUAUUGAACAAAAGUUGAAUUUUAUUCCUUUAGUAGCUGGUUAUAUAUAAUCUGUAAGUUCUGAGUGGUAUUACUUGCUGUUUUAUCUAACAUAUGUUGUUUCUUUAUCGUUGAUGGCUGUGUCUGCUUUACAUGCAAAAAUCACAAGAGCCUAUAUAAAUCACCUGAUCAAAGAUACACACCACAGACUAUUACCCACGUUUCUUCCAGAAAUUAAGGGAAGCUAUCAGGGAAAGGAUGCAGAAGGAAAAGCCCAGCAGUCAAGGAAAUUCUGUGCUCUUUGAUGCAUAAUGAAAAGCUCUCGUUGUAGCAAGUGCCAUACCGAUUUUGUUUUUGUUUCUAAGUUAUUGUAAAAUUCUGGUUUAUGUUGUUUAACAAUUGAACAAGAAAGGCAGUGGAAAUGAUGCACAAAAUCGACGCAGUGAAUUGGUAGUCUGUUGGUUUUCAUGUCACAGUAUCAAUAAUAUGAAAUUAUUACAGUUGCUAGUAAA